AAUCAACGCUGGCGGCGUGCCUCAGACAUGCAAGUCGAACGAGAAAGUUUCCUUCGGGGAAUGAGUAAAGUGGCGCACGGGUGAGUAACACGUAGGUAAUCUACCUUCGGGUGGGGAAUAACCCAGGGAAACUUGGGCUAACACCGCAUAAUGCAGCGGCACCACAUGGUGACAGUUGUUAAAGCGGGGGAUUUUAGGACCUCGCGCCUGAAGAGGAGCCUGCGGCGGAUUAGCAGUUGGUAAGGUAACGGCUUACCAAGGCGACGAUCCGUAACCGGCCUGAGAGGGCGGUCGGUCACACUGACACUGACAUACGGGUCAGACUCCUACGGGAGGCAGCAGUCGGGAAUUUUGGGCAAUGGGCGAAAGCCUGACCCAGCAACGCCGCGUGAAGGAUGAAGUAUUUCGGUAUGUAAACUUCGAAAGAAUGGGAAGAAUCAAUGACGGUACCAUUUAUAAGGUCCGGCUAACUACGUGCCAGCAGCCGCCGUAAG
rnacentral:rRNA from 1 species